UGACUAGAGUCUGAUAGGGGAAGUUAGAAUUCCUGGUGUAAGGGUGGAAUCUGUUGAUAUCAGGAAGAAUACCAGAGGCGAAGGCGAACUUCUAGGUCAAGACUGACGCUGAGUCACGAAAGCGUAGGGAGCAAACAGGAUUAGAUACCCUGGUAGUCUACGCUGUAAACGAUGCACACUUGGUGUUAAUCGAAAGGUUAGUACCGAAGCUAACGUGUUAAGUGUGCCGCCUGGGGAGUAUGUUCGCAAGAAUGAAACUCAAAGGAAUUGACGGGGGCCCGCACAAGCGGUGGAGCAUGUGGUUUAAUUCGAUGAUACGCGAGGAACCUUACCAGGGCUUGACAUAUACAGGAUAUAGUUAGAGAUGACUAUUCCCCGUUUGGGGUCUGUAUACAGGUGCUGCAUGGUUGUCGUCAGCUCGUGCCGUGAGGUGUUGGGUUAAGUCCCGCAACGAGCGCAACCCUUAUUGUCUGUUACCAGCAUGUAAAGA
rnacentral:rRNA from 1 species